UGUACUAGCACAACCGGGAUCUAGCAGGGUCUAAACCGCACCCACAAACUGGUCUUGCCUUCCAUUGGUGGUACUGGAUCCCCACACCCACACACAUAUAUAUAGAAGCCCUCCUCAACCGGACAAUCACACAACCAGUCAGGACCUCGACAGAGCCACUUGCCUUCAUCCUUCAAGAACAUCUCUGAUCUUCGUGUUAACAAUGUCCACUUCCAGGAACUUGCUGGGGAUGGCGCUGAUGGGACUGUUCCUUGUGGUAUCUCUCGACCAAACUGGAGUUGAAGGUCUGCCUCAGGGAUUCGGUUCACACCCAAAACCGAAUUUUUUCCAGCAUGACCCCUUCCUUAACCCGGUUGGACAGAGCCAAGAGGUGACCACAACUUAUGGUUCCUCGGGAACCAAUAACAGCAACGAACAGGUGGGAGGUACUACUUCUAGUACUACCGAAGGCCCUGGGAGCCAAGAGACCGGGGUAGGUAGUAGCAUUGGAGGCCAAGAUACACUAAAUAGUCAGGAGCAGACAGGAGCCUCUCCUGCUCUACACAGCACUCUGACUCAUCGUCUUCCUGGUUUCGGCCCAACGCACUGAUAGAACCCAGGUUGUUGCUGUUGCGGGUGGUGAUGGCGAGGAAGGAGACCGGCUGUAGAAGUGGUCAUUGGCCCCGUAUAUUUUGGCCAGUGCUGUAUCUACCCCCACCAUUUACAGAAUGUGGCAGCAGACAUCCAACGUCAGCCACUCCCAUCUACAGCCGACGGCGGCAGACACCCAACGUUUGCCACCACCAUCACCACCACCACCACCACCACCAGCAUAACAUAGAACUACUGUUGACACGAUUUAGGCCUCAUCAUGUUAACCAACAAAAUGUCAGCUUCAAGUAAGACCAAGAGUAACCUUCUUUAACUACAUUGUGUCUUCUGUGUUGAUGUUUUGUUUGUAAACCUUUUAUCAAUUGUUCUCUUUAACACUUAAUAUAAAACAUUGUGGCCAUAAUAAUAAAAAUAACUGGAUAAAACAA